GACGAACGCUGGCGGCGUGCUUAACACAUGCAAGUCGAACGAAGAGCGAUGGAAGCUUGCUUCUAUCAAUCUUAGUGGCGAACGGGUGAGUAACGCGUAAUCAACCUGCCCUUCAGAGGGGGACAACAGUUGGAAACGACUGCUAAUACCGCAUACGAUCUAAACUCGGCAUCGAGGAUAGAUGAAAGGUGGCCUCUACAUGUAAGCUAUCACUGAAGGAGGGGAUUGCGUCUGAUUAGCUAGUUGGAGGGGUAACGGCCCACCAAGGCGAUGAUCAGUAGCCGGUCUGAGAGGAUGAACGGCCACAUUGGGACUGAGACACGGCCCAGACUCCUACGGGAGGCAGCAGUGGGGAAUCUUCCGCAAUGGACGAAAGUCUGACGGAGCAACGCCGCGUGAGUGAUGACGACCUUCGGGUUGUAAAGCUCUGUUAAUCGGGACGAAAGGCCUUCUUGCGAAUAGUGAGAAGGAUUGACGGUACCGGAAUAGAAAGCCACGGCUAACUACGUG
rnacentral:rRNA from 1 species